rnacentral:rRNA from 1 species
UACGGAGGAUGCAAGCGUUAUCCGGAAUGAUUGGGCGUAAAGCGUCCGCAGGUGGCUAUGUAAGUCUGCUGUUAAAGAGUGAGGCUCAACCUCAUAAGAGCAGUGGAAACUACAUGGCUAGAGUGCGUUCGGGGCAGAGGGAAUUCCUGGUGUAGCGGUGAAAUGCGUAGAGAUCAGGAGGAACACCUGAGGUGAAGACGGGUUGCUGGGCUGACACUGACGCUGAGGCGCGAAAGCUAGGGUAGCAAACGGG